CAUGCAAGUCGAACCGUUAGGCCCUUCGGGGUACUCGAGUGGCGAACGGGUGAGUAACACGUGGGUGAUCUGCCCUGCACUUUGGGAUAAGCCUGGGAAACUGGGUCUAAUACCGAAUACACCCUUCUGGCUGCAUGGUCUGGGAGGGGAAAGCUUUUGCGGUGUGGGAUGGGCCCGCGGCCUAUCAGCUUGUUGGUGAGGUUACGGCUCACCAAGGCGACGACGGGUAGCCGGCCUGAGAGGGUGACCGGCCACACUGGGACUGAGAUACGGCCCAGACUCCUACGGGAGGCAGCAGUGGGGAAUAUUGCACAAUGGGCGCAAGCCUGAUGCAGCGACGCCGCGUGAGGGAUGACGGCCUUCGGGUUGUAAACCUCUUUCGCCAGGGACGAAGCGCAAGUGACGGUACCUGGAGAAGAAGGACCGGCCAACUACGUGCCAGCAGCCGCGGUAAUACGUAGGGUCCGAGCGUUGUCCGGAAUUACUGGGCGUAAAGAGCUCGUAGGUGGUUUGUCGCGUUGUUCGUGAAAACUCACA
rnacentral:rRNA from 1 species